UACGUAGGGAGCAAGCGUUGUCCGGAAUCAUUGGGCGUAAAGAGCGCGUAGGUGGCCUCGUAAGUCCGCUGUGAAAGUCAAAGGCUCAACCUUUGAAAGCCGGUGGAUACUGUGAGGCUAGAGUACGGAAGAGGCGAGUGGAAUUCCUGGUGUAGCGGUGGAAUGCGCAGAUAUCAGGAGGAACACCAAUAGCGAAGGCAGCUCGCUGGGACGUUACUGACACUGAGGCGCGAAAGCGUGGGGAGCGAACAGG
rnacentral:rRNA from 1 species